CAGAUUAGCGCUGUUGACGUUAUCAGGGUGGCCUUGCAUGAGCAUACAAGCACCAGCGCAUAGAUACUGACGGUGCUGAGGAAAACUGUGGCUGAGGUACGUCAUAACAUAAGAAGGUUCAGCAGACGGUGAAAGAAGCUGAGUGCACUGGUUUAUCACAGUUGUUUCCGCCUGUUGCCACGCCUGAAUCGACAACCCUCUCUUAUCAACCCUUCCCAUCAAAGCGUCACGGAGAAGGGACGGGAAAUGGCGCAGCGUCUUCUCUGACCACGUAUGCUGGCUCGUCGCGAGUAUCUGCUCCAACAUGGUUUGCAGAUAAACCAAGUGAUCAGCAUCCGCGAUACCGCGUGUUUUGAUUGUGAUGGCUAGAGUCAUGAUGGUUAUGCGGUUCAACGUCUCAGUGAACUCAGUUGGCCCCUGGUGGUGAUAGUAACAUAACAAAAGUUAUUAACACUCCAAAUCAUCAUGGCACAAGGGAGAGUUAAUUAAUAAUACUUACUUUGCCCUCACGUUUCACAGAGAAGAAGUCUCUGAGUGAUAAAAUGAGAUUCAUGCAUAAGUUUUCGGCUAGUCUGAAUAUACGGUGGUCGCCACGUUUUGCUUUCAGCGCAGAGAUUAUUUUGGUGACAUCAUACAUUAAGGUUUUGCUUUUUCCUUGGUAUCUGCAAAAAGGUGCAUCAGUAACUUUGUUUUUAGUCUUUAACUUGAGAACUUUUUUGCUCAUUUUCUACCUGUAUAGAGGAAGCAAACGGUAGUUCAGAAUCUCAAGAACAAGUAAAGUCACCCCAGGUUUGCUUAGCAGAGAAGCAUUUCUCUGUGCCAAUUGCUACACAAAAGUUAACGAAACUCAUGAAUCGCUUUGUGAUUAAUCAUAAGGUGAAAGAAGGAGCCAAAGUAGCUUACAGUGAAAUGCGAACGGAACAUAGAGUGAGGGGAAAUGAGAAGCAAUCUUGUGUAUGUCUCAACCAUUGCAAUGCUAGGAACAACCUGCAGGCAGAUCAUUGCAUCAGUAAACAUGUAUAAUAUCAUUGUGAGACAAAAGUAGUAAACAAACCUGGCUAACAAACAAAGCUUCUUCCAUCUGAAGAGCCAGUUUCAAGCACAAGUUCAUUGAAAAGCCAGAUAGCAAUGACAUUGGUAAUGGGGUCACUUCCUGCAUCAUCAUUACUCUUUCGUUUGGUUGUAACCCUGGUAACUCAGCCAUUCCAGAUGAAGACAACCAGUUUAUAACUGUUUCACAAGCCGGUUGUGCCAUGGUAUAGGAAACUACCCAAAACAUGCCGAUGGACCUAUCAUCCAAAUUCAUAUAAUCCAUCAUGCGCUCUCCUGAAAACAAGAAACAGAAUGAGAAGGGAGUUUUGUCUAAGCGUCUGACUAGGUAAGGAGUUGUCAGGAACUUACCUUUGCUUCUCCACCACUCAUCAAUCUGUUUCCCCUUCAAGAGUUGGUCAUUGUUUAGGUAGGCUCUAGUUGUUGCGCUUAGUGACCAAAUCCGUAGAUUCUGACAACUGCUUACGAAGUCAAGCAACACACUCUGAGGAUUAUUGGGAUCAGUUCUGUCUUCCCUGUGAAAUGAUAAGAUCUUCCUAGUCGUCUCCACCUGAGAGAUAGAGCAGAAGUUAUAAUGCCAAGCUCAAAGAAAAGGAAUUGAAUUGAAUUGCAGCUGCAAUGACCUUUUUAAGAUCGGAGUUCAAAGCAGUCAUCACAAGCUCAACGCGUAUUAUUUGAGCAAGCAACCACGUCACGUGAUUCGUUCGAAGAAUAUGGUUAUCAUCACCGUUAAGUCGCAAGACCAACUUGUCAAUAAAAUCAACAAAAUCAGUACACCCACUUUUGAUUAGAAAGAAGAAUAUAUCUGAGAAAACAAGCCACUCUUGCCAGCAAUUUGCAUCUGCACAGAGAGAGAGCCAGAAUAAAAAUGUCAAGAGGAAGCAUUUCAUGUGUCCAGAAGAAAAACGCAAGAUUUGCGUCGUGCUUGUCUAGAAUCUCCUGAAAAUAUAUAUCAAGAUGCAAUGUAAAAAAAAUGAAUCAAGUAAUGAAAAAAGUGAGUUUAAUCAAUCUUAGGAACCUUUAUAUUGUGUCCACGCUGAAGGUCAACAUGAACUUUGUGAAGCAAAACAUCUACCAAAGUGUAUAUGUUAGCAGUGACUUCUUCAGGUGAAACCUCUCUUAGAACCCGUGCCUGAUAAUAAGGACAAAUCAUACAACUAUUUCAAUUAACAAUCUGUUCACAAAUUUGAAGAGACCAAUAUUCAACAAUCAGCUACUCGGUAACUAGCCGUUUCGUAGAAAAUUAGAGAUUAGACGGAUAAUUAGCAGAGCCUAGGAGUUUAACAAAUUAUUGAUUUUUUUUAAUAUAUUUUACUUAGCUAACAUUAUUGCUUAGUUUAAUAUAUUUAGAUUGAUUUAGACAAAUUUAGAUCAAUUUUAACCAAUUUAAAAAGGUUUAAACCGAUUUGAAUUGCAUAAAUCAGGUUUUAAGAAGAUCAUUUUGUCUAUGACCAAUUUUCCUAGAACAUUGGAAGAGACGAAGCAAAACAAACCAGAUUAGCGCUGUUGACGUUAUCAGGGUGGCCUUGCAUGAGCAUACAAGCACCAGCGCAUAGAUACUGACGGUGCUGAGGAAAACUGUGGCUGAGGUACGUCAUAACAUAAGAAGGUUCAGCAGACGGUGAAAGAAGCUGAGUGCACUGGUUUAUCACAGUUGUUUCCGCCUGUUGCCACGCCUGAAUCGACAACCCUCUCUU
rnacentral:lncRNA from 1 species